GGGCAGUUCCUAUGGAAGUCAUUAAUCCAUUUAAUAGUGUAGAAAGUAAAAACAAGUGGCGGUGAUGUAGUUGCAGAAGUUACAAGCAGCACCUGACAUCACGGCAAGUUUCAUUCAAGCCUAAAGAUAGACAGACACGUGGAUGAACAACUGCUAAUAACUGUCUGUAACCGUCGAGGGUAUAAAUAAAUGACACAUUGUCAAGAAAACUUUGGAAAUCAUAAUUGGCAUGUCUGCAGCUGAUGAUGCCAAUUUUCUUUUCAAACAUUGAUUGACUGCAAAAUAAGGAGGAGGAUUUUCAUAGCAUGAAUUUUAACUGAGGCUACUGCUAUCUGAUGUGCACAAGCGUCUCUGUCAAUCUGACUGUAUUUUUUGGGAUAAAAAACCUGAUAUUAGGAUGAAGUGAAGUUCAAUUAAGCCAACUGCUAUCACCUACAAGCUAUACUUUCAGCAUAUCAGGCUAAUGUAGAAGUUGCUUUAUAUCACUGGAGGAAUCAGCUAGCAACAUAGAGGAGCCUAUGUCUAUCUUGGAGCAUAUCAUCUAGUUGGGAAUCCAAUAUGUGCUGUUGUGGCCUUUGUUAAAUCCUUAAAAGUCUUUCAGAUUGGAUUUAGAACUAUUGUUCAAGCUUAUUUAUUUAUUUGGCUAAAAUGUAAAAACAUUUCUGUUUGCUUAUGGAACAAGUUUCACAAAUUGGCAAAAGCAAGUUAUUAUAGUACAAAAAAUUUUUCCUUUUACAUAAUUUUUUCCCCACCCCACUCCCUCCCUUUUCUUCUUCUUCUUACUGUAAUUUACCAUACUUAUGCUCAAAUUGAUUGUAAAGCUUGAAUAUUGCAAAUCCUAUAACUAUUUUAGAUCAGAACAACAGGUCUCAAAUCUAUAUUUAGUUAAAAUUGGUGGGAAUUGAGACGUAUUAGGCUUGUAGACUAAACUAGUUUGGAAUGCAUAGUUGGAUUUUUAUUGAUGUUAUAGAUGUCAAAAGCAAGAGAGAGGACAAUUGAGAGAGAUUCUUGUAACAGAUAUGAGAUAACAAAACAAAGAGAGAAAUUUGUGUUUUUUUUUUUUUAAAAUAAAAAUGACCUUAUAAUUCCUUGGCCUAUCUUUAUAUCAAAAUUAUGCUCCAAUAAUGUAAAUGAUAUUAUUAUAGUGGAAUGUAAAUAAUGAUUAAAAUCUUGUUAGUAGU